GGAGGGAUGGCCGAGUGGUCGAUGGCGGCGGUCUUGAAAACCGUUUCCCCGAAAGGGGACGUGGGUUCGAAUCCUACUCCCUCCGCCA
rnacentral:tRNA from 2 species